UUAUUUUUCACCCAAUCACAGUCCGCAGUCUUUGAGCGACACGUCCAGCCGCCAAUCAGAUUCCUAUAUGUGUCCACAUCGUCAACCGGUAUUUCCUGUUAGUCAUAUUGAAGUUUCGACUUUGUGGUGGCGCCUUCCACAAGCAGUGACCAUUGUCGAGAGAGGAGGCACAACGCUAGCGAACCAUGGUGAAGAUUUUCAUCGGGAAUCUGUCUCAGCACGCGACGAAGGAGGAAGUCGAGGCUCUGUUUACUCAGCACGGCACAGUGACGGAAUGUGCCAAGUACAAAAACUAUGCGUUCGUGCACAUGGAGGACCGCAAGGCCGCCACCAAAGCCAUCCGCGAGCUCCAUCUCUACAAGCUGGGCGGCCGGCCCAUCAAUGUGGAGCUCAGCCGAGGCAAGGGCCAGGGCCCCGUGAAGCUACACGUCGCCAACGUGGAGAGGGGGGCCGACGACGAGCUCCGCGCGCUUUUCGAGGAGUACGGCAUGGUCACGGAGUGUGCCAUCGUCAAAGACUUUGCCUUUGUGCACAUGGCCAAUUCCGACGAGGCCAUGGAUGCCAUUAAAGGCCUGGAUAACGCAGAGUUUCAAGGGAAGCGCAUACAUGUUCAGAUUUCAAAAAGCAGACCCAGGGGGCCACCCGAGGAGGAUGCCUAUCCACCGCCGCCCGGCAGAGGAGGCUUUUACCCCCCGCGCUUCCCGGGUCCAGGGAUGGGGCCCGAGCCUCCCUACAGAGGCCGUAUGUCCGAUUAUCCGCCUCCACCUCCGCCACCGCCUCCCCCGAGACGAGCAGCGUAUCCCGACAGCGGCUACGGCGAGGGAGAUGGCUACGGGGUGGUCGAUUACUACGAGAAAUUCAGGGCCCGUCCUUUUAGCGGCGCGAGCUAUGAUGACAGGCGCGCCAUCCCUCCUCCUCCGCCUCCUUCCUCUGCACUGGUUAGAGAACGCCUCGGAAUGGGGCCCCCUGACCCGUAUGAGCGGCGCCCGCUUCUGCAUGCGCCUCCCUCCUACAUGGCCAGAGACCGGAGCCCUAUCAGACGUGCCCCCCUACCACCUGCCCCGUCCACGGGUAACGGGUUCUCCUACGAGCGAUCUCAGCUCUCUCCGAUGCCCCGAGCGCCGAUGUAUGCAGCUCCCCAUCCCAGGGACUCCUUUUCAGAGAGAGCGCUGCCGCCACCGCCGCCGCCACCACCUCACUAUGCAGGCUACUAGGCAUCUGAGAAUCUAAUACAAGGUUGUUAGACUCUAUGCAGGAGAUCCCAGCCUCAUGGUAAGUCGUCCCUGGAAGACAUCCAGCAUCCUGAAGGAAGAGGCUCGCCUCUGCUUGUGUGAUGACCAUGAUGCGUCUCGAUUUGAAUUCACAGAACCUGAUGGGACUGGCCGCUCCCGUGGCCAUAGGAAGUGGAAUGUUCCAGUUAAGUCGUCAGAGAACCUGUUCGGUUGCAUCUUGAUGCCUUGUGGCAAGUGACACCAGUAGAAUACGGUUGGACUUAAACUUGAAAAACAGACUGUAAAAAAAACCGAACAGUAGUUCAACCCCAUCUGUUCCAGUUAUGAAAUAUACAGACAUGCUUAUUCUGCAGUGACCAACAUCAUGAUUUGUCUCUUUUUAAAGGAGAAACCAACGGUCUAUAGGUUAUUGUAGGGAAAAAUCAAAAUGCAAAAAACAGAGGAUGCAGCCGCAUGGACAUUUUAGCUAUUCCUCUUUUACUUACCCAUAGUUCUGCCUCUUUUACAAUCAUGAAAAUUGGUAUUGUAUGAUUGUUUUUAUAUGAAUAUCUUGUUUUCACAUUGUUGUACUAAAACUUUUACUUAAGUAAAUACUUUUUACCACUUCUUCCAACUGUGAAAAACCUCAACACUGAGUAAAUAUAUUUAGUUACAUUCCACCACUGACUGAAUAAGCAGUAAUUCAGUAGGCAGAGCACCAGAAAUGGAAUAUUUCAAUGAAUUUAUGAUGAUGACUUUACAUAGAACGUUAAAACAUUUUAAAGAUAUGAAUUGUGUUGCAUGAGAAUACAUGUUCCAUUUUGUUCUUGAGUAUAUCUUUUUUCUUUUCACACCUUGCACUUUUUCUCACAUAGUAGAUUGAGGAAUAAAGACACCUUUAAAUAUU